CACAGAAUAGAAAGAAAAAAAAAAAGUGUAAGGGAGAGAGAGCGAUUUUGAAGAAUGAAGAAGAUUCAGAACAACAACAGCGACGCCGACAUCAAUUGUGGUGCAGGUGAUGAUCGGCGGAGGACGUUGUUUGUUUUCCAUGGCGUUUCAUCUGAUUUGUCGUAAAAAGGUCGGGGAGAUGUUUCGAAGAAUGUUUGGGGAUUUAGGAUCAGAGAUGGUUCGAAGAAUGAAGAAGAAGACUCGGAGUACUCAAGGAAUCCAUAAGCGAAUACUGAUACUUUGGUUUUGUUUGUUUCUGUAUCUCUAUAUGGAUUGGAUGAAUUUCAUCUUUAAACAAUGGCAAGGGCUUACGGUGACAUCUUCACUUGUUUUAACGAAAGAGAAUCGUUGAUGUGUGGUGCAGGUGUCGUUUUGGUGUCUUUGCAAGUGAGGAUCGGUGGAGGACUUUGUGUGUUUCCAUGGUGUUUCUUCUACUCUCAUCUGAUUUGACGGCCAAGUUUGGGGAUCAGAGAUGGGUUUGAAGAUUGAUGAAGAAGACUCGGACUACUCAAGGUUUUGUCUCUAUCAACAACACAAUCCCUAAGUGAAGAGAAUUUCUUCUAACUCUAUAUGUGUGCAGAUCAGAGAUGGUUUGAAGAUUGAUGAAGAAGUCUCGGACUACUUCAAUUGUUUUAAAGCUUUUUCACUUGGAUUCUAAGAUUUUGACAUGUGUCGUUUUGGUGUCUUUGCAAGUGAGGAUCUGAGGAGGACUUUGUUUGUUUCCAUGCUGUCUAUUCUACUCUCUCUGAUUUGACGACGAAGCAAUAAAGGAAUUUCAUCUUUAAACAAUGGCAAGGGCUUACAGAGACAUAUUCAAUUGCUUUAACGAAAGAGGUGUCUUUGCAGGUGAGGACCUGAGGAGGACUUUGUUUGUUUCCAUGGUGGUUCUUCUACUCUCAUCUGAUUUGACGGCCAAGUAAUAAAGACCGGUGAGAUGGUUUGGAGGAUAAUGUUUCAUUACAAAAACUGGUUCGCCGUGCGUGCUCACAGUAUAACAACAUGAAACUGAUUCUAUAGUCAUUGAUGCUCUUUGACUCUACAAAGUGUUGCUAGCUUCUCCAGGUGGAGUUAUAAGGUUCCCUUUCAUCCAAUGGAAAAAAUCUCUUCAAGUAAGGUUUUAUCAGAGAAUGUUGGAAGAAUGAAGAAGAUUCAGACUGCUUAAGGAAUUUCAUUUUUCAACAAUGCCAAGGGCAUACGAAUUUCAUCUUCAAUUGCUUUAACGAAAGAACUGUCAAAAGAAGGUGUCGUUUUGGUGUCUUUGCAGGUGAGGACCUGAGGAGGACUUUGUUUGUUUCCAUGGUGUUUCUUCUACUCCCAUCUGAUUUGACGCCCAAUUAAUAAGGACCGGUGAGAUGGUUUGGAAAAUAAUGUUUCAAAACAAUAACUUGGCCGGCGUGCGUGCUCACAGUGUAACAACAUGAAACUCAUUCUAUUGUGAUUGAUGAUCUUUGGCUCUAUACAAUACGUCUUCCUCUUUGUCCACUUCAAAUUCUCCAUCCUGGUUUUAGGUGGAGUUAUAAGGUUUCCUUUCAUCCAAUGGAAAAGUUCUCUUCUUGAUCUGCUAUUGGAAGUUACUUAGAAUUGCUGAGACCACUAUCAUCAACAGUUAUGCAGCUAUCAGAGAUGGCUUGAAGCAUGAAGAAGACUCAGACUGUCAGACACACACACACUCUUCAGUCUUCACCAAAUAGAAAAAAAAGUUUAAGAGAGAGCGACUCUCUCACACUCUC